GGACAGGAUGACAACAGCCCCAGCAAUAGAGUCCAGGCCCUUAGUCUGGGGGAAGGGGUCCUGCAGGAAAUGACAGCUGAGCUGACUUUUCAUAAGAAAAGCACACCCAGAAGGGCAGUGGUGAUGCCCUUUAACCCCACGAAUUAGCCAGGGUUCUCUAGAGUCACAGAACUUACGGAAUGUCUCUAUGGUGAGGCAAUUUAUUGUGAUGACUUACAGUCUGUCCUCCGAUUAACCCAGCAAUGGUCAGCUGUGGAUGGAAAGUCCAAGGAUCUAGUAGUUGCUCAGUCCCAUGAGGCUAGGUGUUCCAGCUGGUCUUCUAUAGAAGUAGGUUCCAACAGAUGUGCUGGCUAGUAAGUGCAAGCAGGCGAAGAAGAGUGAAUCAAUCUUCCUUCUUUCAAUGUCCUUACAUAGGUCUCCAGCAGAAGGUGUGGCCCAGAUUAAGGUAUGUACCACCACACCUGAAUCUGGGAUUUGCUUGUCCCAGGCUGACUUUGAACUCAGAGAUCUCCUUGCCUCAGUCUCCUGAAAGGUGUGUACUAUCUUGCCUGGACCUAAGCUUUUUAUGGCCACUAUGCCUCAAGAUCUCCAUGCCAAGAUCCAGGUCAGAAUGUUGUGUCUUCCAGCCUCAAGAGGGAGAUCACAGGGCAUCAUUUGAGUGGAAAUAUAUCUGCAGUGAUGAACUGGCCAAGUUACAAAGGCUGUGAGGCCAGCUAAGGAGUUUGGACUUUGUGAGAACCCAGGGGACAGUUAUGCUUUUAGCAGCCUUCUCUCUCCCUCCCUCUCCCUCUCCCUCUCCCUCUCCCUCUCCCUCUCCCUCUCCCUCUCCCUCUCUUCCCUCUCUCUCUUCCUCUCUCUCUCUUUUUUCUUUUUGAGACAGUAUCUGGAUGUAACUCUAUGGGUAGCCCAGGUUAGCCUUCAACUCAUGAACCUCCUGCCCAGCCUCCUGAAUACUGGGAUUACAGACACGUACUGCCA
rnacentral:lncRNA from 1 species